rfam:Canis lupus familiaris chromosome X, whole genome shotgun sequence.
GGCCUCCAGGCUUCUAGUCCCUUCCUUGAAGGAUCGGCAAGUCACACGCAGAGCCUCAAGCAAGGGACUUCCAGCUGGUGGCU